UACGUAGGGGGCGAGCGUUACCCGGAUUUACUGGGCGUAAAGCGCGUGUAGGCGGCUGGUCAAGCGUGGUGUGAAAUCUCCGGGCUCAACCCGGAAACUGCAUUGCGAACUGACCUGGCUGGAGUGCAGGAGAGGGCAGCGGAAUUCCCGGUGUAGCGGUGAAAUGCGUAGAGAUCGGGAAGAACAUCGGUGGCGAAAGCGCUCUACUGGACGGUGACUGACACUCAGGGACGAAAGCUAGGGGAGCGAAUGGG
rnacentral:rRNA from 1 species